rnacentral:rRNA from 1 species
UACAGAGGGUGCAAGCGUUGUUCGGAAUUAUUGGGCGUAAAGGGCGCGUAGGCGGUGCGGUAAGUCUGUAGUGAAAUCUCUGGGCUCAACUCAGAGUCUGCUGCAGAAACUGCCGUGCUUGAGUGUGGGAGAGGUGAGUGGAAUUCCCAGUGUAGAGGUGAAAUUCGUAGAUAUUGGGAAGAACACCGGUGGCGAAGGCGGCUCACUGGCCCGUAACUGACGCUCAUGCACGACAGCGUGGGGAUCAAACGGG